CAGUCGCCGCGGUAAUACGAAGGGGGCUAGCGUUGUUCGGAUUUACUGGGCGUAAAGCACACGUAGGCGGAUCGAUCAGUCAGGGGUGAAAUCCCAGAGCUCAACUCUGGAACUGCCUUUGAUACUGUCGAUCUGGAGUAUGGAAGAGGUGAGUGGAAUUCCGAGUGUAGAGGUGAAAUUCGUAGAUAUUCGGAGGAACACCAGUGGCGAAGGCGGCUCACUGGUCCAUUACUGACGCUGAGGUGCGAAAGCGUGGGGAGCAAACAGGAUUAGAUACCCCCGUAGUCCCUGUCUCUUAUAC
rnacentral:rRNA from 1 species